GACGUAGGGCGCGAGCGUUGUCCGGAUUUAUUGGGCGUAAAGAGCUCGUAGGCGGCUUGUCGCGUCGAAUGUGAAAUCUCAGGGCUCAACUCUGACAUUGCAUUCGAUACUGGCAGGCUAGAGUUCGGUAGGGGAGACUGGAAUUCCUGGUGUAGCGGUGAAAUGCGCAGAUAUCAGGAGGAACACCGGUGGCGAAGGCGGGUCUCUGGGCCGAUACUGACGCUGAGGAGCGAAAGCGUGGGGAGCGAACAGG
rnacentral:rRNA from 1 species